rnacentral:tRNA from 1 species
AAAUGUUUAGUAAUUACUUAAAACUUUGAUUUUCAAUUUCUGUUAGAAGUUUAACUCUCCUAGGAUUUA